AAACGGUUGCCAGAACGCGAUACAACGCGAUACGAUCGCGUACAGACUAGAGUGGAGGUUCGUGUAACGCGACAACCCUUAGAUCAUGGGAAGGUGUGCUCCAUCUUAGCAGGAUUCCCGUAAGCGGCUUUGUAACGACUCUCUCGGAACUUUGGCAAGAACUUCUCGUCCUCCCGCGGCGCGAUCAAUUUUUCGGUAUACUACUUUUACACUCUCUGACUUUGGAGAGCGUGACAAGUUGGAAGGAUAAUUUUCCCGGAUAAAAGGAUGUUACAGUGUUUCUCGUAUUCGAAGAAUUUGUCACUUGGUAAUUCCUAGCGAAUUUAUCUUACUUUUUCUCGCGAAACCAGAAUACACAGGUUUUUAAAUCCUAAAAUUUGACUAACGUUACAUUUAACGUGGCACGUUCGUGGAAAGUGGAAUAAUGUAUGGGUACAGUCGACUUCGUUUAAGAAUUGUUGCAAAAACCGCUCCCAAAGGGAUAUUAAUCAAGAAAGCUGUGCGAGUUACGCGGUCAUACGCGGAAAAAAUGUAAAUGGACCGCUUACGCCUCGCUUUUCUCGCCGAUCUAAUGAACAACAUCCGCAUAGGUACGCAUAUUCCUCCACGACCGCAUAAGCGACGAAUUUCGCGCAGGCCGAGCCACGCCAUUUUACGCGAGAUCCGUUAAGGAUCAGCCGGGGUCAUAUUAUCUCGCAAAUGGCUCGACCUCCGUCAUGCCGGUUUGGUCUACGGUUUGCCAGCCCCGGAGCCACGUCCAAGAAUUCCAAGGAAGCGCGAGGACCGUGCAGUUCGUACCGGAACGAAAAUGGAAGAGAACAAGAUCCAGUGGCGUGGUAGCCAACGUCAGAUUGCGACCAAGAAAAAAGUACAAAUGGUAUAGGCGAACAACUCGAAAUGUAGAAGCUAACGAACUCGAAUGUUAGAAACAAAUUAAACUGUUAUUAAAAUAUCAA